rnacentral:rRNA from 1 species
UUACGGGAAGAACCUUACCAAAUUUUGACAUCCUUUGACACCUCUAGAGAAAGAGUUUUCCCCUUCGGGGGACAAAGUGACAGGUGGUGCAUGGUUGUCGUCAGUUCGUUUCGUGAGAUGUUGGGUUAAGUCCCGCAAGGAGGGCAACCCUUAAGCUUAGUUGCCAUCAUUAAGUUGGGCACUCUAAGGUGACUGCCGGUGACAAACCGGAGGAAGGUGGGGAUGACGUCAAAUCAUCAUGCCCCUUAUGAUUUGGGCUACACACGUGCUACAAUGGACAAUACAAAGGGCAGCGAACCCGCGAGGUCAAGCAAAUCCCAUAAAGUCGUUCUCAGUUCGGAUUGUAGUCUGCAACUCGACUACAUGAAGUCUGGAAUCGCUAGUAAUCGUAGAUCCGGGC